rnacentral:rRNA from 1 species
UGGGGAAUAUUGCACAAUGGAGGGAACUCUGAUGCAGCGACGCCGCGUGAGUGAUGAAGGAAUUCGUUUCGUAAAACUCUGUUCUAUGGGAAGAAAAGGACUGUACCAUAGGAGAAAGCUCCGGCUAAAUACGUGCCAGCAGCCGCGGUAAUACGUAUGGAGCGAGCGUUGUCCGGAAUUAUUGGGCGUAAAGGGUGCGCAGGCGGCUUUACAAGUUGGAUGUGAAAUAUUGUGGCUCAACCACAAACGUGCAUCCAAAACUGCAAAGCUUGAGUUAAGGAGAGGUAAGUGGAAUUCCUGGUGUAGCGGUGGAAUGCGUAGAUAUCAGGAGGAAUACCGGUGGCGAAGGCGACUUACUGGACUUAAACUGACGCUCAGGCGCGAAAGCGUGGGGAGCAAACAGG